rnacentral:rRNA from 1 species
ACAGAGGGCCGCUACCACGCAAGUGGAUGCCAAUCCCCAAAACCUCUCUCAGUUCGGAUUGAAGUCUGCAACCCGACUUCAUGAAGCUGGAUUCGCUAGUAAUCGCGCAUCAGCCACGGCGCGGUGAAUACGUUCCCGGGCCUUGUACACACCGCCCGUCAAGCCAUGGGAGCCGGGGGUACCUGAAGUGCGUAACCGCAAGGAGCGCCCUAGGGUAAAACUGGUGACUGGGGCUAAGUCGUAACAAGGUACC